UGCCAGCCGCCGCGGUAAUACGGAGGGUGCAAGCGUUAUCCGGAUUUAUUGGGUUUAAAGGGUACGUAGGCGGAAUAUUAAGUCAGUGGUGAAAUCCUGCGGCUCAACCGUAGAACUGCCAUUGAUACUGAUAUUCUUGAAUAUAGUUGAGGUAGGCGGAAUGCGUAAUGUAGCGGUGAAAUGCUUAGAUAUUACACAGAACACCGAUUGCGAAGGCAGCUUACUAGACUAUUAUUGACGCUGAUGUACGAAAGCGUGGGGAGCGAACAGGAUUAGAUA
rnacentral:rRNA from 1 species